AGUGAAAUGUGAUAAGUAAUGUGAAUUGCAGAAUUCAGUGAAUCAUUGAAUCUUUGAACGCACCUUGCAUCUUUUGGUAUUCCAAAAGGUAUGCCUGUUUGAGUG
rnacentral:rRNA from 1 species